rnacentral:rRNA from 1 species
UACGAAGGGGGCUAGCGUUGCUCGGAAUCACUGGGCGUAAAGCGCACGUAGGCGGAUUGCUAAGUCAGGGGUGAAAUCCUGGAGCUCAACUCCAGAACUGCCUUUGAUACUGGCGACCUUGAGUCCGGGAGAGGUGAGUGGAACUGCGAGUGUAGAGGUGAAAUUCGUAGAUAUUCGCAAGAGCACCAGUGGCGAAGGCGGCUCACUGGCCCGGUACUGACGCUGAGGUGCGAAAGCGUGGGGAGCAAACAGG